rfam:Nectria haematococca mpVI 77-13-4 chromosome 4 genomic scaffold NECHAsca_3_chr4_2_0, whole genome shotgun sequence.
GCCCGGUUAGCUCAAUCGGUAGAGCGUGAGACUCUUACUAGAGUACACAAUCUCAAGGUUGCGGGUUCGACCCCCGCAUCGGGCU